rnacentral:lncRNA from 1 species
AAUACGAUGUGGGAGUUGAACAUUCUUUUCAGCUGUCUGUCUGAAACCUCUUUAGGGUUGGUCAAUCAGAGGUCUUCAGUUCCUUCAAAAGCUUGUGCUGUGGGGACAAGAAAGGCCUUCUUUCAUUUCUCCUGCAUUCCUGGUUCUGAAGCAGAGCCGUGAGUAUUGCAAGCUAAUAUUAACAUUGCUGUGGCUGCAGUGUUUGUGCCUUCCGCUAGUUCUGUCUUGGGCUAUGCAUCAGUGGGGUUAUUCUAGAUAGCCACGUGCCGAGAGGAGAAAAACCAAUUUCGGCUCACAACACACAGCUUUAUAAAAUAAAUCACUCUGUCUGCCCCGGAUAAUUCACUCUGUAUUAAGUGUCGUCCUUUUAAAAGGAAACAUACUCGAGUUUGAGAAAGUGGCAACAGGGAAACCAUCCAUGGUGACUGGCUCCAAUAUCGCAGAAUGAAGAAACACUGCAAUUCGAGAAGCUAAGGUAACAAAAGAAUGUGCCACUGUACUCUGCAUCAUUUAGCUUAUUUAGCUGGUUGAUUUCCUACAGCAGAAGUUCUUUUUCCCCCCCAGGAGAGGCAAAUGAGCUCAGACCAAAACUUUUUUCGCAGUAUUCAUUUCUGCGACAGAGUGGGGAUGAAGGGGGGUGGGGAAGCCAAAUUCUGUUGAUCUCAAACUCCUGUCUCUCCCAGGAAUGAUCUUCCCUUUAACUUUCUUCUAUGUGGUAUUAUUACUACCAUGUUUACUGCUAAUGAUGACAGGGGUGGGGUGGGGGAGAGUGCAGGUAACUGUGUUCAAAAUGGUGGCACCUUUUGCUCCUGUGGCAUUUGGUGUCUUGGAUAGGCCAUGCUUGUACUGCCAAAAUAAGGGUGACAUUCCCCAGGCCAUAUUGUCACCCUUCAUCAUUUAUUUAUUUAUUUAUUCAUUUAUUAUACUCCCCCCCUCACCCCUUUCUCCAAGUGCAGGACCAAAGGCAGCUCAGAGCACAAAUUACAACUAAAAAUACACAACAAAUAUAAAUAUCAAGAAACAAUUAAAUAGGUUACCCUAUUAAAAACAGCAUUGAAAACCAUUUAAAAUCACACAUACACAAAAGGAACAGCACCAGCCACCCUUGGAAGAAUCCUGCCACAACAGCCAGUUAGUAUUUAUUUCUCUUAUCUUCUUGAGACCCUUGUCAGAAAUGACCUUGCUGUGUCCGAGACGGGAAGGGCAGAGCUGGAAUGAGAUGUGGGAAAACGCCAUGUUGGGUAAAGCAAAAGAGAUCGGCUCACGCCUGCUUUGUAAAUGAAUCAGCUGGUCCCAAAUGAAAUAGUCACAAUGGCAUGCAUCAGUAAACAAAGAGAUGUGGUUAACCAAGAUUUGGCGGAGUCAAGAUGGUGGGGGCAAGGAGGGACUUGCGAAGGACAAGGCAGCCUUCACACAAGUGCCUUGAACAUAGAAAGAGUCCCAUUGGAUCAGACCCAAGGCCUGCUUAUUCCCAUAGCGGGCAACCAGAUGUCCCCCUGUGCCAUAUAUAAUGCAGGCAGAGGCAGAGGCAUGACUGGUUCAGUUGCACUGGAUGCGGAUCCAUGAUUUACCAUGGAACAGAAGAGGGGCACCGAAUUUUGCACAGGGUACCGCUGAAAUUUGAGACCCUCGGAUUCGCCACAGAUGCAGGACAUGAUGGUGCUUGUGUUCUCCAGCAACUGGUAUUCAGAAGCAUACUGCCUCUGUUUAUGGAGGUUUGUGUGUAGGUGUGUGUAUAUACAUAUAUAUAUAUGUAGAUAUAUAUAGAUAUAUAUAGUGUUUCUGUGCGCUUCUCUGGUUUCACCAGAAGUGGUUUAGUCAUGCUGGCCACAUGACCCGGAAAAACUGUCUGUGGACAAACGUCGGCUCCCUCGGCCAAUAAAGCAAGAUGAGCGCCACAACCCCAGAGUCGUUCACGACUGGACUUAACUGUUAGGGGUGCUUUACCUUCACUUUAUAUAUCCAUCAAGACUAGCAGACAUUGAUUGACCUUAUCCUCCAAUAGCCUUAUCCUCCAAUCCCAUUGCUCUGUUUUUAAAUCUUCACACUUCAGGUUCGCCUUAUCACUCCAUAACUACCAGCUGCUGCACUUUAACUGUGCCACAUCCUGAUACGCUCACCCUCCUCAAAAAAUUAAUUCAGUAGAUUGGUUUGGGGUUUCCUUGGUCAUUAUCAGGCCACAUUGGGGAAGGAGAAGUGUGACAAUUGUCAGGGUGUUCUAAAUCUGGCAGUUUCCACAAAUAAUGUCCCUCUCAUCUCUCCCUUAGCCUUGGCCUGUGCCUAAGGGUGCUGUAAAAGGAACGGCAUGAAAAACUUCCAGAAAUAAAAGAAGAAUGUCUUAGUUGGGAAGUGAACACAGCAAUGAAAGAUCUCUGUAAACUCUAGCCCUGGGCACUGAUAGCAAAGUCCACAUGCUCACUUUAACUGCACCCCCUCUUUGAAAAACGGUUCUUCCCUCUUUUCAGAGCUGCGUAGAGAUUGCUGCACACACAAUGGCUGGCUGCAAUGAUUUCUUUCAGCUUGAAGAGAACAGUAGCCAUUGGACCAAAGUCUUUAUGUUUUUAAGUGAAGCUGAUUUUGAUGAUAAAGGAUAGUAUAUGUUUUUUGGGGUUUCUAAAGACAUAUGUUUUUGUUUCAUUUUCAGGCGUAACGGCAAUAAUAUCACCAUGAACAAGAUAAAUACAACAAGAAGUGAAUAGCAGAAAGUCUGGGGAGACAGAACGGUCAUUGUUUAUUUCCCCUGGAAAUAACAGUGAAGAUGUCACCCAAGCAUUUAUGGGCUUGGAGUUACAGACUCAAAUGUCUCAGAAAGCAACAUUCCAAAACUUAUCUUGGGAAGAUGGUGGGCUUUGCAGAGAUGACUCUUUGUUUGCAUAUAUGAUAAUAUGUUGCUACAAAUAAAUAAUAUUUUUUCCAGUC